GAUGAACGCUGGCGGCGUGCUUAACACAUGCAAGUCGAACGGUGAAGCAGGAGCUUGCUCUUGUGGAUCAGUGGCGAACGGGUGAGUAACACGUGAGCAACCUGCCCCUGACUCUGGGAUAAGCGCUGGAAACGGCGUCUAAUACUGGAUAUGUGAUGUGACCGCAUGGUCUGCAUCUGGAAAGAAUUUCGGUUGGGGAUGGGCUCGCGGCCUAUCAGCUUGUUGGGGAGGGAAUGGCUCACCAAGGCGUCGACGGGUAGCCGGCCUGGGAGGGUGAACGGCCACACUGGGACUGAGACACGGCCCAGACUCCUACGGGAGGCAGCAGUGGGGAAUAUUGCACAAUGGGCGGAAGCCUGAUGCAGCAACGCCGCGUGAGGGAUGACGGCCUUCGGGUUGUAAACCUCUUUUAGCAGGGAAGAAGCGAAAGUGACGGUACCUGCAGAAAAAGCACCGGCUAACUACGUGCCAGCAGCCGCCGCCG
rnacentral:rRNA from 1 species